rnacentral:lncRNA from 1 species
UUGAUUGAAACCGUAGAUGCAUACACUUAGUACCUUGAUUUGAAUACUAGUGCUACGGUCAAGUAGAUGCAAUGCUUAAUAGGUCCCGGUAAAAGUCGAGUGAUUUCCUGUCACUCGCGAGUUGUAAGAGUUGAAUGUUUUAUUUAUGCUGCAACUAUAAGGACGACGGACGGGGUCGAGCUUAUGUUCGAUACUUGGUGGAUUGCCCCGUCUGUCUAAAUGAAAUUGAUCUAAGGUCGAAAUGUGUCGGUGUUCGUGAUCAAGACUUUGAAAGUACUAAUCUCAUACCUAGUAUGGGAUGAGGAAGCCUAGUACCUGAUUGAACUAGGGCAUGGCAUACUCCCCCGGCUGUCCUUGGAACGUCGUUCCCAUGGUGCAUCAUGUGGGUGCAAGUGCAAUCAUAGUACGGCAGAGGCCGGGAUUAUGGAGCAUUGCAUGCCAAAGGCAGUUGGCCCUAACACGUGUGUUGGGGGGACAUAUUAACGAUCUCCUAAAUACCGCUUAAAGGAACAAACAUGAAGGCCCAGGCCCAUCCGGGAUAACAAAAUCACCGUCAAGCCCAACAUGAGCAAAACUCCGCCUCGCUCGACCACGGUCUAAGGGUCGGGAACGUCCGACCUCCCGCCAUGAGGCUCCGCCUCAUCCGACCGCAACCCCCGGGUCGGGGGCGCCCGACCCCUCGCCACAAGGUUCCGCCUCAUCCAACCCCGAGCAUAGGGGUCGGACUCACUAGGGCCCCCAGGAUGGAUAUCCCCCUCGGGUGCGGGCCGGACGGUCAAGGUAACGAUCCCGUGGGACCCCCUUGUUGACCUUGUCAUAAAUGCGCCGCAGGCCUGGCAGGGAGAAGGAUGACCGCGCUCCUCACGCAACCCGCUGCAAGUACCCAUGCACGACCACACUGUACAAGCUACAGUGCUGGUGGCUUCCUUCCAUUUGCCGCAGGGUAGUCAUGGCCUGCGCCGACCGGAGCAAAGGGAAGACUCGCCCAUCCUCGGGCCCCGCGCGCCCUCGGGUUCCGCGCGCCCGGCAGCGGGGAUGUGACGCCCUCUCUCCACGAGCCAUCAUCAGGACGGAGGCAUCCGCCGUCCCUCCCAAUGGACACCGGAGUGACGACGAAACGCCUUCAUCAUAACCCGACGCCUACGGAUACCGAAGAGGCUAUCUAUAGGGCGCGAUGACAGUUGGCACAUGGCCG